AUCUACUACCUCCCCUGAUCCCUUCACUCUCUCCACUCCCAGACUCCCAGUCCACUCACGAUGGCAGAUCUCGGCGAGUCACCCACCCCACCGCCUCCGCUCUCGCCCCCACAGCCGGCGACCUCGUCUCGCACCGCCACCCCAUCUCAUCCCCUCCCCAACUCCCCUCCACUCAUCCGACGGCGGCUAGAGACGCACACAACCGGCGACCAACAUCACACAAAGGUCGCCACCGCCGGCGGUGGAAGGACAGUCUUCUCCCGCCGCUAGCCGCAGCCUCCGCCUCGCCCUGAUCCUCGGCCUCCUCGACCGCCGCUCGCUCUCCUGGGAAGCACCUCGCCGCCUCCCUGCCCAUGCCGUCUUCGCCGACUGCCCUGCUCGCGCCGACCUCGCGAAUCUCGCGGCCGCGCUUGGCAGUGCUCGACUUGUCCUCGCCGCCGCCAGCGGCGACGGGUCCUUCCCGUGCCUCUACCGCCUCGUGGCCGAGUCCUCCUCUCCCCAAAUUGACACCCGCCCCUUUGUCGAGCCUGCUGUGCCAGCGACAUGAGCAGGAUGGUGGCCGUCGAGGCUUCGGAUGCGGUCGACGCAGAUGAGAACAGUUCAUAGAGUCGUACCAGGCAGAACAAGUUGUUCCACGCAUGGGGUCUGAUUUAAAUAUUUUCGGAGAUGCAUAAUAUGCCAAACACUUCUAAAGGUGCCUCGUCCAUGGGCGCAUGAUAGUGGAAAAACAUCUGUAAAUUGUGCAGGAUCCUAUAGAGCAAAUGGGCAUCAUCGACGUGCAGUACACGCUCUCUUAGGCAGA